CGAAGGACGGAGUCCAGGAGGCGCCACGCCUUGAUUCUCCUCUGCGGGGUCCUGGAGGCGCUCGAGCACGGCCAUGUCGGCACCAUACACCUCGUCGCCGGCGGUUUGCGGACGUAUCUGGGCAUGUGUCGCGGGGAUCCGACGACGAAGAGAGGUGGAAGAGAGGAGAGGAGAAGUCAAUCAAAUCCUCCGAUGCGAGAUCGGGAUCGGCGGCGGAUCAUAAGGCAGAUUGCCAUCAAAGUGGCAAGGCGCCAAGGCCAGCCCUCUAUUUGCCUGGACGAAGGGAGGAGGGAGGCCGAGACCCGCGGCGGCGCAGGGAGGAGGGAGGCCGAGACCCACGGCGGCGCAGGGAGGAGAGUUGGGACAGGUAGUCGAGGGAUGGAGCGGCAGGGGCGAGCGACGGCGAACGAGUGUGCGUGAGGGUUUUUUUUCGCUGGUUAUUUUUCGUAGGUCUUUUUAUCGCUGGUUAAUUGUCGUAGAAUUUUUCGAGCGAGGGGCUGGUGGAGGACUCGGUACGUGGUUUUUACGGUUAGUGGCGGGUCAGCUUGAGGUGGGAGGAGGUACCAAAAUAGGUACCAAAAAUAACCGGGUGAGGUGGGACGAAAAUAAAACCCGGAACGCGACCUACCAACUGAGACAUUAGGAGUUUAGAUCUAUUUGCUGGGAAGGACCGGGAGGAUGGAGGGCUGACCUUGCAGGUGGGUAUCGAGUACGUCAUCGAGUACCUUCCUGCCCGGCGGCAGGGACGUCGUCGACAAAGCGGCGAAGGACGGAGUCCAGGAGGCGCCACGCCUUGAUUCUCCUCUGCGGGGUCCUGGAGGCGCUCGAGCACGGCCAUGUCGGCACCAUACACCUCGUCGCUGGCGGUUUGCGGACGUAUCUGGGCAUGUGUCGCGGGGAUCCAAUGACGAAGAGAGGUGGAAGAGAGGAGAGGAGAAGUCAAUCAAAUCCUCCGAUGCGAGAUCGGGAUCGGCGGCGG
rnacentral:lncRNA from 1 species